rnacentral:rRNA from 1 species
UACGUAGGGGGCAAGCGUUGUCCGGAUUCAUUGGGCGUAAAGAGCGUGUAGGCGGCCAGGUAGGUCGGUUGUGAAAACUGGAGGCUCAACCUUCCGAGGUCGACCGAAACCAUCUGGCUAGAGUCCGGGAGAGGAGAGUGGAAUUCCUGGUGUAGCGGUGAAAUGCGCAGAUAUCAGGAAGAACACCCGUGGCGAAAGCGGCUCUCUGGAACGGUACUGACGCUGAGACGCGAAAGCGUGGGGAGCGAACAGG